CCUAGUGAAAAAAAUUUUCUGGUCCAGGUUCUGGCCAGUACUGUCACAGAACUGACCAGUUCUGCCACAGUACUGACAAGUACUGGCCAGGUUCUGGGCGAGACUGGCCAGGUUCUGGGCGAUACUGGCCAGGUUCUGGGCGAUACUGGCCAGGUUCUGGGCGAUACUGGCCAGGUUCUGGGCGAUACUGGCCAGGUUCUGGGCGAUACUGGACAGGUUCUGGAAUGAUACUGGACAGGUUCUGGAGGGUACUGGGCUGAUACUGGCCAGGUUCUGGCGAGUACUGGGCUGAUACUGGCCAGGUUCUGGCGAGUACUGGGCUGAUAUUGAAGUUUGUAUCUUUAUUUUAAUGGGUCUGGUUUUACUUGAUAGUUUUAGUGACUUAUGCCCAGUACAUUUUUGUAUUAUUAUGGCAAUAAAACUAUAUUCUGAUUCUUAUACUGGCCAGGUUUUUGCUGGUACUGGAUGAUACUGGCAUUGUUCUUGGCUGAUAAUGGCCUCUGGUCCAGAAUUCAGACUCAAUUAUAUGUGUUUGUUGUUUUUUUACAAGUUAUUCACUUUGGUAAAUUGGAGAUUACUGAUAACGAUUAAUUUAUACAUAAUCAUAAUGAGCAAAUCUGUACAGAGCUACAGACCACAAGUGUUGUCCGAUUGUGAUGAAAUUCAGCAAGUAAUAAGUACCAAACCAUGGGUUUUCAAAGUUUUAACUUUUUUGAAAUUUUGUUUUUAAUGGUGAUUUUUCCAUAAAAACCCAUGAAAUAAUAGCAAAAUCUUAUUUUAAAAAAUUGGCCAAAAUUUUUUUAUAAAUAACAAGUAUGUUAGAGCCCUUUAAAUUCUGAAAAAAAGCUACUGUAACUUAUAUGUUAUUUUAUAUAAAUAGAGGAAAACUGUGUUUUUUUUAACCUAUAUUGAUCAAAAUUAGUAUAUUUUGGUCUUUAUAAUUUAAAUUUAAAUGGUGCAACCUCUCAGUGUUGUGAAAAUUAGGGUUUAUAUUUUUUGCAACUUUUGUGAUUUUUUCCUGUAAAAUAUUAAAGUUACUACAGUACUACCACAUACCCAUACAUAGGACAAGUAUGUGUCCUAGAAUAAUUAUCUCUACAACCAAAAUAAAAGAUUGAUUAAAAUAACUUCUGUUAUUGUUUUGAAAAAUUGAGCAAGAUUAAAAUUUAAAAGAAUUUUCGCGCCAGACUGAGAGCUAAUGACAGGGUCCAGUGCAGUCCGUGGCAGAGGAGGGGAGGGGACUGAUUUUUCAUUUUUCUGUUCCAACUCCAACUGUCAAUUGUCAAAAGAUCGGCGUCGCCAUCUUUGCUUGGCUGUUGUGCCUAACCUCUUGACUUUGCAAAAGUAUAACUUAGUCCUUUCAAUUUAAAAUUAAAAUGUAAUAGUGUAUAAUCGUAUCCAUAUUAUAUUAGUAGCCUAAGAUUUUUGUUGUUAGGUAGUUUACCUUCAGUUUUUUUAGUUUUCUUUCACCAAAGAAUAUCGUUAUUGAAGAGGCUGUCUCCCAAACCAAGAAGCUGUUUUUCAACCAGUUUCCAGAGGCCAAAGAAAAAGAAACAUCGAGACGGUGAUAAAAGAUUGGCUAAGACCGUCAUGAAAUCGAAUUGUUAGCAAGUAGGAAGGAAGGAGAGAAACGACUGAGGAGGGAGAAACGACUGAGGAGGACGAAGACUGCAUCCCAUAAAUGGCUCAUGGACUCAAUCUUUAGAUAAUCUUUAUGUCUUUAAAAUUCAUUAUUAUUUAUAAGUGCAAAGAUCUAAUGUAAUAUUUUUAAAUACAUACAUGUUGGAGUAUAAUGCUGAAUAUUGAUUAAGGCCUACACAUUUGCUAAUGAGGUAAUUUUUCAAAUACCUAUGGAUAAACAUUAACAAAAUUAAAUAUUUUGUAAUGGAUGAUCAAUUUAACAGCAGUAUUACCUUGCUGACUAAAAUAGAAGAAAAUUCACAAAUAAUAAUUCUUUUACCAACAAAGGAGCUAGUAGACCUAAUAAUCCUGUGUUAAAUUGUGCAUUGUCUUUUGAUUUUGUCACUAAGGUAGGCCUAAGAUUUAUAGGCCUACAUAAAAA